rnacentral:tRNA from 1 species
GCGUUACCUGGUGAUAACGGCCGAUAUGCGGAAAACAAGGUCUGCAAAACCUUUAUUCACCGGUUCAAAUCCGGUCGCCGCCUCCA